rnacentral:rRNA from 1 species
UGAGUAACACGUGAAUAAUCUGCCCUGUACGAUGGGAUAACAGCUGGAAACGGCUGCUAAUACCGUAUAUGACCACGCCGAGGCAUCUCGGAGGGGUGAAAGCGCUUAAGCGGUACAGGAUGAGUUCGCGUCCAAUUAGCUAGUUGGUGAGGUAACGGCCCACCAAGGCGACGAUUGGUAGCCGACCUGAGAGGGUGAUCGGCCACACUGGAACUGAGACACGGUCCAGACUCCUACGGGAGGCAGCAGUGGGGAAUAUUGGGCAAUGGAGGAAACUCUUUAACCCCCAGCAAUGCCGCGUGAGUGAUGAAGGUCUUCGGAUUGUAAAGCUCUUUGAUUGGGGACGAAUAAAUGACGGUACCCAAGGAACAAGCCCCGGCUAACUAUGUGCCAGCAGCCGC